UUUUUUUCGUGCGUCCUUAUCCUAGCUCCGCACCGAUGCCCCUCAGAACCUUCUUCUCUUCUCAUCCCCAUCUCCAACCCCCUGCCCCCCUUCUCCUUCCCGUCCCCGUCGGCGCGCGCAGCAGUGGAGGCGCGGGCAGUGGCAGCGGCGGCAUGUGCUCGGCGGCGCGCGCAGCAGUGGAGGCACGGGUAGCGGCAGCGGCGGCGUGCGCUGCGGCCGCGGCAGCGGCGUGGGCUCAGCAAUGCGAGUAGCGGCUGUGGCGGCGUGAGCCGCGAGGCCGCAACUUCUCUUCCCCGCGCCGUCUCCGUCGUAGCGUUAUCACUCCUCGUGGAUGAAGCGAUGUAGGCAUGGAUGGCAUCCGCGAAGGAUGCGGCUGGAUCUGCAAUGGAGAACCUGGUGGUUGCACAGAUUAUACAAGAAAAACUAGAUGGAGGUGGCCUCCCUAUUAUUGUUGGCGGCACAAAUUUCUACAUCCAGGUAAUUUUGAUUUACUGGCAUGCAUUUCUGUAUGAUGAAGUUCAUCUUAUAUUUAUUGACUGCACUAUCUGAUUUGUUGUCGUGCCUUUGCCCUUCAAUAUUCUAGGCCCUUAUUAGCCCAAUCACGAGUGCUAGGUUUGGGGGCACUACCUUAAGUUGUGAAUUUCCAAUUAACAAAGAUUGUGAUUCAGCUGGCUAAAAUAUUUCUCUUAUUUCAGUCUAAUACACGUAACCUUGGUUUGGUGUCUAGAGAACCUUGUAAUCUCAUCUUUAGGCAUAUUUUGUAAAGAAAUCUUUUUUGUUUGCCUUCUCAAUUUGGUCUGAUGGAUGAUCAGGCUGCCAGGCAUUCCAGCCCUUCUCCAUUUAAUAGGCCAAGGUGAGUCGUCUAGCAUUUCUCUAUUUUAAUGAUGAAUCACCCAGGGUGUUGGAGGCUAACAUAACACUGGAAAUUUUUAGGGUUAAAGCAUAGAGAAGAUGAUGAUAUGGAGAACUGUUCGUAUGUCAUCUGGAAAAAGAGGGGAGAUGAAAGAAUAUGAUGCAUAGCAGCGGAGAUGUGCAAGUUUCAUGGGCCAAAUAAUGUUCUGUCGACCAGAAAUGCAGAGCUCUAGCCGAAAUGCGGAGUGCUUUGUCGGUUAAUCUGCUGGUGUACGGCUUCUGAGGAGGUGAAGAUGCUGCAUCAUAGAUGCUUGCUGACAAGGUGCACACAAAAGUCUUUUUUUGCAAGUACUGAUACUAGGAUCUGUGUGGAAUGCAUGAACUUAGUAGUCACAUAGAUUUGAUUAUCAUUUAAAAACAUCCAUUUGUAGCCUGUAAAAUAGAUUUGUGCUUUGUAGCCUGUAAAAUAGAUUUGUGCUUUGAACGGCCAUUUGCUUCUUUUGUAUUGCACAUCAACAUCAUACAGAGAAGGCUGAGAGGUGAUUGUAUGGACUCUUUUGUUUAAUCUCGAUGUAUGAGCUCAUAUGGUUGAAUUCUGCUGCUAUAAUUAUAUAUUAUAUAUGUUGUACAAAUGAUGCAAUAUUAUUAUAUGAAAA